rnacentral:rRNA from 1 species
CCUACGGGGGGCAGCAGUGGGGGAUAUUGCACAAUGGAGGAAACUCUGAUGCAGCGACGCCGCGUGAGGGAAGACGGUUUUCGGAUUGUAAACCUCUGUCAUCGGGGAAGAAAAUGACGGUACCUAAAGAGGAAGCCCCGGCUAACUACGUGCCAGCAGCCGCGGUAAUACGUGGGGGGCAAGCGUUAUCCGGAUUUACUGGGUGUAAAGGGAACGUAGACGGCAGUGCAAGUCUGGAGUGAAAGGCGGGGCUCAACCCCCGGACCGCUCUGGAAACUGUGCGGCUGGAGUGCAGGAGAGGUAAGUGGAAUUCCUAGUGUAGCGGUGAAAUGCGUAGAUAUUAGGAGGAACACCAGUGGCGAAGGCGGCUUACUGGACUGUAACUGACGUUGAGGCUCGAAAGCGUGGGGAGCAAACAGGAUUAGAUACCCGAGUAGUC